rnacentral:tRNA from 1 species
GCCUGGGUGGCUUAGUCAGUUAAGCGCCUGACUUCGGCUCAGGUCAUGAUCUUAUGGUUCAUGAGUUUGAGCCCCAUGUCGGGCU